ACUGUCCUUUAAUUGGAGAAAACUCCCCACGCGCCCCGCGGGCGCGGCAAAAAGGAGGUGCGACAGUGAUUGAUGAUUACGAAUCUGAAUCAGACCUCGACCCUAAUGAUGUCAGGAUGUUUGAGGAGGGCCUUACUCACUCAGUGGUUCGUGCGAGAGGCUCAGCCUGUAUCCUUGAGAUCCCUUCAGAUGUCAAUCUCUUGGGGGACACGGAGGAUCUGGUGUCGCAAUUCAGCAUGCAAUGCUCUGCACCCAAGAAUGCGGCCCUUCGGUCCGUUCAUGAUGCUGAUUUGAUGGAUGAGUGAUGUAUAUGGUGGAAGUGGAAAGCAUUCGCAGGGCCAAGAUUUUCUUGAAGAUGUUGGAGAAAUAUCGUCGCUACCGCGACAAGUGUCGCGGGAUGCAUGAGCGGAUGAAGGCAAACCCCGGUAAUCGGGCUCUUGGUGAGGAGUUGGAGAAAAGGGACCUGGAAUUGAUGCAAGCUAUCCGCAACAGGAGUGUACUUGAGGAGCAACUUUGAAUAAAGGACGAGGAGCUCGAGUUGGUCAAGGGGGUCGCCGUAGAAUGCGAGCAUCUGCAGGAGAUAUUGAGGUCAAUGUAGUCGGAGAUGGAUCAGAACUUGAUCAAGGUCCACUACUAGAAUUCCUG